GAAUUUUGGACAAUGGGGGCAACCCUGAUCCAGCCAUCCCGCGUGUGCGAUGAAGGCCUUCGGGUUGUAAAGCACUUUUGGCAGGGAAGAAAAGGCUCUGGCUAAUACCUGGAGCUGCUGUCGGUACCUGCGCAAUAAGCACAGGCUAACAACGUUCCAGCAGCCGCGGUAACACGUAGGGUUCAAGCGUUAAUCGGAAUUACUGGGCGUAAAGCGUGCGCAGGCGGUUCGGCAAGAAGGAUGUGAAAGCCCAGGGCUUGACCUUGGAACUGCAUUCUUAACUGCCGGGCUAGAGUAUGUCAGAGGGGGGUAGAAUUCCGCGUGUAGCAGUGAAAUGCGUAGAGAUGCGGAGGAAUACCGAUGGCGAAGGCAGCCCCCUGGGAUAAUACUGACGCUCAUGCACGAAAGCGUGGGGAGCAAAC
rnacentral:rRNA from 1 species